rnacentral:rRNA from 1 species
AAAACAUCGCCUCUUGAUGAAUUAUAAGAGGUCUAGCCUGCCCAGUGAAAUAUUUAACGGCCGCGGUACCCUGACCGUGCGAAGGUAGCAUAAUCACUUGUUCUUUAAAUAGGGACUAGUAUCAACGGCACCACGAGGAUUACACUGUCUCCUUUCUCCAAUCAGUGAAACUGAUCUUCCCGUGAAGAAGCGGGGAUAUAACUAUAAGACGAGAAGACCCCAUGGAGCUUUAAAUUUCACAGCAACUCAGUCAAAUAAACCCUUAUAAGUCACAGAACUAUGCAUAACAAUUUUAGGUUGGGGUGACCGCGGAGUAAAAAUUAACCUCCACGACGAAUAGAACUAAACCUUUAUCCAAGAGCCACAACUCUAAGAAUUAGCACACUAACGAUUAAUGACCCGAUAAUCGAUCAACGGACCAAGUUACCCUGGGGAUAACAGCGCAAUCUACUUCAAGAGUCCAUAUCGACAAGUAGGCUUACGACCUCGAUGUUGGAUCAGGGUAUCCUAGUGGUGCAGCCGCUACUAAUGGUUCGUUUGUUCAACGAUUAAAACCCUACGUGAUCUGA